GGCUUGACAUAUACGUUUCGGUCCUAGAGAUCCGGCGUCCUUUCGGGGCGCGUAUACAGGUGCUGCAUGCCUGUCGUCAGCUCGUGCCAUGAGCUGUUGGGUUAAGUCCCGCAACGAGCGCUACCCCUAUUGUCUGUUACCAGCAUUUCGGGAUGGGGGACUCAGGCAAGACUGCCGGUGACAAACCGGAGGAAGGUGGGGACGACGUCAAGUCAUCAUGGCCCUUAUGUCCUGGGCUACACACGGUCUUAUCAACGGCCGGUACAGGCCGAAGCAAUUGGCAGCGAGCUGGAACGGAUCGUGUAAAACCUGGUCUCAGUUCGGAUUGGAGUCUGAACUCAGACUCCAUGAAGAUGGUAUCGCUACUAAUCGCAUAUCAGCAUGAUCCGCCGAAUACAUUCGCGGUCGUUCUACACACAGCCCGUCACACCAAUCGAGUUGGGGGUACAUGACCGCGUUAGCCUAACCAAUCAAUGGGAGCAGACGUCGAAGGUAUGCUU
rnacentral:rRNA from 1 species